rnacentral:rRNA from 1 species
AGUUUGAUCCUGGCUCAGGAUGAACGCUAGCUACAGGCUUAACACAUGCAAGUCGAGGGGCAGCAUUGGAGUAGCAAUACUUCAGAUGGCGACCGGCGCACGGGUGAGUAACACGUAUCCAACCUGCCGCUUACUCGGGGAUAGCCUUUCGAAAGAAAGAUUAAUACCCGAUGGUAUAAAGAGUUCGCAUGUUCUCUUUAUUAAAGAAUUUCGGUAAGCGAUGGGGAUGCGUUCCAUUAGAUUGUUGGCGGGGUAACGGCCCACCAAGUCUACGAUGGAUAGGGGUUCUGAGAGGAAGGUCCCCCACAUUGGAACUGAGACACGGUCCAAACUCCUACGGGAGGCAGCAGUGAGGAAUAUUGGUCAAUGGACGAGAGUCUGAACCAGCCAAGUAGCGUGAAGGAUGACUGCCCUAUGGGUUGUAAACUUCUUUUAUAAGGGAAUAAAGUGAGGGACGUGUCCCUUUUUGUAUGUACCUUAUGAAUAAGGAUCGGCUAACUCCGUGCCAGCAGCCGCGGUAAUACGGAGGAUCCGAGCGUUAUCCGGAUUUAUUGGGUUUAAAGGGAGCGUAGGUUGACGUAUAAGUCAGCUGUGAAAGUUUACGGCUCAACCGUGAAAUUGCAGUUGAUACUGUAUGUCUUGAGUGUACAAGAGGUGGGCGGAAUUCGUGGUGUAGCGGUGAAAUGCUUAGAUAUCACGAAGAACUCCAAUUGCGAAGGCAGCUCACUGGGGUACAACUGACACUGAGGCUCGAAAGUGUGGGUAUCAAACAGGAUUAGAUACCCUGGUAGUCCACACAGUAAACGAUGAAUACUCGCUGUUUGCGAUAUACAGUAAGCGGCCAAGCGAAAGCAUUAAGUAUUCCACCUGGGGAGUACGCCGGCAACGGUGAAACUCAAAGGAAUUGACGGGGGCCCGCACAAGCGGAGGAACAUGUGGUUUAAUUCGAUGAUACGCGAGGAACCUUACCCGGGCUUGAAUUACAGAGGAACAUAGUUGAAAGAUUAUGGCCGCAAGGUCUCUGUGAAGGUGCUGCAUGGUUGUCGUCAGCUCGUGCCGUGAGGUGUCGGCUUAAGUGCCAUAACGAGCGCAACCCUUAUCAUUAGUUACUAACAGGUGAUGCUGAGGACUCUAGUGAGACUGCCGUCGUAAGAUGUGAGGAAGGUGGA